rnacentral:rRNA from 1 species
GAUGAACGCUGGCGGCGUGCCUAAUACAUGCAAGUCGAGCGAACAGACGAGGAGCUUGCUCCUCUGACGUUAGCGGCGGACGGGUGAGUAACACGUGGAUAACCUACCUAUAAGACUGGGAUAACUUCGGGAAACCGGAGCUAAUACCGGAUAAUAUAUUGAGCCGCAUGGUUCAAUAGUGAAAGACGGUUUUGCUGUCACUUAUAGAUGGAUCCGCGCCGCAUUAGCUAGUUGGUAAGGUAACGGCUUACCAAGGCAACGAUGCGUAGCCGACCUGAGAGGGUGAUCGGCCACACGGGAACUGAGACACGGUCCAGACUCCUACGGGAGGCAGCAGUAGGGAAUCGUCCGCAAUGGGCGAAAGCCUGACGGAGCAACGCGGCGUGAGUGAUGAAGGUCUUCGGAUCGUAAAACUCUGUUAUUAGGGAAGAACAAAUGUGUAAGUAACUAUGCACGUCUUGACGGUACCUAAUCAGAAAGCCACGGCUAACUACGUG